GGAGGUCAUAUAAUCUAGGGGGUCCCCAAACCACAGGGGGUACCGGUACCGGUCCUUGGCCUGUUAGGAACCACGCAGGACAGCAGGAGAACAAAAUCAACCCAUUUUAUCAGAAGUGGAACUUCCUCCCAUUUCUUCAGGUUCCUUAUCAACAUCAGAUUUUUAUAAACCCAGGAGAUCAGCGUAAGACAAGUGUCUACCCCUUUGUUCCUACUUAGAAAUCUGCCGGCAUCUCUCAGAAAGAAUCAACUGAAGUAUUCACCAAGAAAACUGAGCUGACUGAAGAAGAAAAGAAUUACCAAAAACAUCUGAACAAAAUCAACCAGUAUUAUCAGUUCGCCUUGCCCCAAUAUGUAAAAGCUGUUUAUCAAUAUCACAAAAUUAUGAAACCAUGGAAAAACAUGAAGACAAAUGCUUACCAAGUUGUCCCCACUCUGAGGGAUCUUUAAGAUUCUUGAAUUAACUGCUUCUACUUUACUUUGGUUUGCCUGGGAAAUCUACCUUUUUUUUAAGGUUUGCCUGGAAAAUCUACCAUAUUACUUCAUACUACCAGCGUGUUUGGACAGGCUUAUUGUGAAGGCGGGAAUACUGAGUCAAAGAAGACUUCAGAAUAUUUCCUGAAUUGCAUAUACCCUUC